rnacentral:sRNA from 1 species
UCCUUCGGGCCUCAUCCUCGUCCGUCUCGUC